CACGUCAUCUUUGGGCGACUCCACGCCUCCCGCAUUUUACCUGGACUGGAGGUUGACCACGGUGAUCUUCCUGCCCGGGUUUCCCAGCCCAAGCCACCACCCCAGCCAUUGUCCUCAACUCAUUUUAAAUAUCACCGGAGAAGAUACGUUAAACAGAUCUGGCACAUUUACAGAUUUCUGUCAUACGAUUGUCUUGACGCUGGCCUAAUGAAGCGCUACUUUUGACCUGGUGACUCUGAUCCUGAUGAGAUUAAUGACAAGGUCGUUGGAAGAACAUUUCAAACAACUCUCAUGUUCAGAGUACUUAGAAGUAACCCAGUUUUCCAGGGAUAUGUUCCUUUUCUUCUAUAGAAGUAUUAAAAU